ACAGUAUAGUGGUGUAUCUGUAGGGUCUGGAUAGGUAUAAACAGUAUAGUGGUGGAUCUGUAGGGUCUGGAUAGGUAUAAACAGUAUAGUAGUGUAUCUGUAGGGUCUGGAUAGGUAUAAACAGUAUAGUGGUGGAUCUGUAGGGUCUGGAUAGGUAUAAACAGUAUAGUAGUGUAUCUGUAGGGUCUGGAUAGGUAUAAACAGUAUAGUGGUGGAUCUGUAGGGUCUGGAUAGGUAUAAACAGUAUAGUGGUGGAUCUGUAGGGUCUGGAUAGGUAUAAACAGUAUAGUAGUGGGGUCUGGAUAGGUAUAAACAGUAUAGUAGUGGGGUCUGGAUAGGUAUAAACAGUAUAGUGGUGGGGUCUGGAUAGGUAUAAACAGUAUAGUAGUGGGGUCUGGAUAGGUAUAAACAGUAUAGUGGUGGGGUCUGGAUAGGUAUAAACAGUAUAGUAGUGUAUCUGUAGGGUCUGGAUAGGUAUAAACAGUAUAGUGGUGGAUCUGUAGGGUCUGGAUAGGUAUAAACAGUAUAGUAGUGUAUCUGUAGGGUCUGGAUAGGUAUAAACAGUAUAGUGGUGGGGUCUGGAUAGGUAUAAACAGUAUAGUGGUGGGGUCUGGAUAGGUAUAAACAGUAUAGUAGUGUAUCUGUAGGGUCUGGAUAGGUAUAAACAGUAUAGUAGUGUAUCUGUAGGGUCUGGAUAGGUAUAAACAGUAUAGUGGUGGAUCUGUAGGGUCUGGAUAGGUAUAAACAGUAUAGUGGUGGGGUCUGGAUAGGUAUAAACAGUAUAGUGGUGGAUCUGUAGGGUCUGGAUAGGUAUAAACAGUAUAGUGGUGGAUCUGUAGGGUCUGGAUAGGUAUAAACAGUAUAGUGGUGGGGUCUGGAUAGGUAUAAACAGUAUAGUGGUGGAUCUGUAGGGUCUGGAUAGGUAUAAACAGUAUAGUGGUGGAUCUGUAGGGUCUGGAUAGGUAUAAACAGUAUAGUAGUGUAUCUGUAGGGUCUGGAUAGGUAUAAACAGUAUAGUGGUGGAUCUGUAGGGUCUGGAUAGGUAUAAACAGUAUAGUAGUGUAUCUGUAGGGUCUGGAUAGGUAUAAACAGUAUAGUAGUGUAUCUGUAGGGUCUGGAUAGGUAUAAACAGUAUAGUAGUGUAUCUGUAGGGUCUGGAUAGGUAUAAACAGUAUAGUGGUGGAUCUGUAGGGUCUGGAUAGGUAUAAACAGUAUAGUGGUGGGGUCUGGAUAGGUAUAAACAGUAUAGUGGUGGAUCUGUAGGGUCUGGAUAGGUAUAAACAGUAUAGUGGUGGAUCUGUAGGGUCUGGAUAGGUAUAAACAGUAUAGUGGUGGGGUCUGGAUAGGUAUAAACAGUAUAGUGGUGGAUCUGUAGGGUCUGGAUAGGUAUAAACAGUAUAGUGGUGGAUCUGUAGGGUCUGGAUAGGUAUAAACAGUAUAGUAGUGUAUCUGUAGGGUCUGGAUAGGUAUAAACAGUAUAGUGGUGGAUCUGUAGGGUCUGGAUAGGUAUAAACAGUAUAGUAGUGUAUCUGUAGGGUCUGGAUAGGUAUAAACAGUAUAGUAGUGUAUCUGUAGGGUCUGGAUAGGUAUAAACAGUAUAGUAGUGUAUCUGUAGGGUCUGGAUAGGUAUAAACAGUAUAGUAGUGUAUCUGUAGGGUCUGGAUAGGUAUAAACAGUAUAGUGGUGGGGUCUGGAUAGGUAUAAACAGUAUAGUGGUGUAUCUGUAGGGUCUGGAUAGGUAUAAACAGUAUAGUAGUGGAUCUGUAGGGUCUGGAUAGGUAUAAACAGUAUAGUGGUGUAUCUGUAGGGUCUGGAUAGGUAUAAACAGUAUAGUGGUGGGGUCUGGAUAGGUAUAAACAGUAUAGUGGUGGAUCUGUAGGGUCUGGAUAGGUAUAAACAGUAUAGUAGUGUAUCUGUAGGGUCUGGAUAGGUAUAAACAGUAUAGUGGUGGAUCUGUAGGGUCUGGAUAGGUAUAAACAGUAUAGUAGUGUAUCUGUAGGGUCUGGAUAGGUAUAAACAGUAUAGUAGUGUAUCUGUAGGUUCUGGAUAGGUAUAAACAGUAUAGUGGUGGAUCUGUAGGGUCUGGAUAGGUAUAAACAGUAUAGUGGUGGAUCUGUAGGGUCUGGAUAGGUAUAAACAGUAUAGUGGUGGAUCUGUAGGGUCUGGAUAGGUAUAAACAGUAUAGUGGUGGGGUCUGGAUAGGUAUAAACAGUAUAGUGGUGGAUCUGUAGGGUCUGGAUAAGUAUAAACAGUAUAGU